UGAAGAGAGAGAGAGAGAGAGAGAGAGAGAGAGAGUGUGU
rnacentral:sRNA from 1 species